rnacentral:lncRNA from 1 species
GGAGUUUCCUGUGAUAGGAAGUGAUGGCAGAAUAUUGUUUAAUGAGAUAGGACUUUGUAAACACAUUACCCAUGUAAUGGAACUAUCCCCGCUUUAAAUCUCAUUAGUGGAUCAGUUGUAAAGAGAUAUUUUACCAUUGCUGUUCAUCUUUGUGGAUACAUUAUCUCCCCCGCCCCUUGCUCAGGGUGGUUCCCAUUGCAUAUGCCUGCAGAACUGCCAGCUAAACUCCACCUCCACCCUGCAGCCAGUCAAGUCCAUUUGGCAGGAUGAAACAUUUCUGGAGAGGACUGCAAGCCACGGUGACAGGUCUGAGCUCAGUUUGAUGGACACAACUCUCCGUUUUUCCCUUUGGAUGUCACUAUGUGUUCUUAAUCUCCAAAUCUAGCAAUGCUUGCCUUGACCAAGCUCCAACAGCCUUCUACAUUCCUUUAACUCAGCUUAGAAAAGAAAAAUGUUAUUAGGAAAACACCAU